AAAAUGAGUGACGCCAUGCUACCUAAUGGGGAAUUUAUUAUUAGUAGUGACACAGAUUCAGAUGAAGUCAAGGCAGUCAUGAAAAACGAGGAAGCCCAUAGUGUUAAUAAAAAGAAAAAGAAGAAGCAUAAGCACAAACACAAGCAUAAACAUUCUUCUCAUAAGUCGAAGAAACAUGAUUCACAUAGUAAACAUGAUUCACAUAGUAAACAUAAGCACCGGCAUGCAGAGAAAAAAGAAGUAAAUAAUAUGGAAUUAGAUGAGCUUGAAAAGCAAAAAGCAUUAAUAGAAGCAAAACUUGCUAAGGUAGAUGCUGCUGUAAUUCAUGGCUCUCUGGUCUCUGCAGAUUAUGGCAGUUCCGAUGAGGGUAGUUCCAUGACGUUAGAAAAUGUUCCAAAAAUUAGUAAAGAAUUAAUCCCUAGUAAGUUGAUAUUGGAUGAGACAAAGACUGUUCAACUCAAAGAAACAUUGAGUCAUAAAAAAGACAAAAGUGAUAAGUCUGAAUCAAAAAGGAAAAAUUCUUCUAAAGAGCAACAUAGUUCUAAAGAAAGUCACGAUUUUGAAAAACAUAUGAAAAGUUUAUCUAAGCAUAAUUCUGCCUUAUUUGAUCAGAAUUCUGAGAAAAUAUAUAGUAAAAGAGACAAAAAGGAAGUUCUCGAUUCUCGAAAUCAAGAAAAAUCUCCAAAACACAGAGCUCAUUCUCCAUCAAGGAAUAAGCAUUCAUCUAGAGGUGAAUCAUUUGUUAAUUCCAAUCUGAAAAACCGCUCCCCACCUCGACGACAUGAUGUAAAAAAAAUGCCUUCUCCUCGUAGCAAUGAAAGGAGCUGGAUAUCUCCUCCAAAAUCUCAUCGUAAGAGCCCAUCCUCACCUAAAUUACAUCAUCGCCGCAGUCCGUCACCAAAUAAAUUGCAUCAUAGACGAAGUCCAUCAGUGACAAUGUUACCUCAUCGUCAUUCUCCAUCUCCAAUAAAGCAACUUCAUCGUCAUAGUCCAUCUCCAGCAAAGUUCCCUCAUCGGCGAAGCCCAUCUCCAAAAUCCUCAGCUCAUAGGAGUGAAAAGGUUAAACCAAAUAUUCGAUCACGUAGUCCUCUUCGAUCAAGAAGUCCAUUAGUUAAAAGUCGAAGGACACCUGACUUUUAUUCUGCAGAUUCACGGCCUCCCUUUAGGCGUUCUGGUGGUCGUCCCAUGUCUCCGAGAAGACAUUUUAAUGAUAGGCCUGAAAAUCAUAUGAGGGACCGAGGAAGUCGGCCUAGAAGUUCAGAAAGAAAUGGUAGAUCUCGUAGUCCAAGACCUCUUAGAGAACAAAGACGGUCAAGAGAAAGGCCUUCUAGGAUGCGCAGAAGAGGCAGCCCUUACAGGAGAUUAAGAACAGGCGCUGGUGAGCAAGAUCAGGAUCAGAAACACCGGCGUACUGAAAAGGACAAAUACAAAGAUAGUCUUUCGGAAGGAUUGAAAGUACAGCAUGAUGAAUCAUCUGAUGACCAAAUUGUGGAUCUUGAAUUAGAAGAAGAGGAGGAGGAGGAUGAAGAGAUUGUUAUUCAAAGACAUCGACAAGAAAGACAAGAAUUGCUAAAAAGACUUCAAGUUGAAAAUUCACAUGGUGGUAGUGGCUUAUCUACUCCAGCUAUUUCUAAUAAUGGUGCCGAUACUCCAGAUUCUGUGAUAAUUGGAGAUGAGGUUGCUGCUAGCUUCUUGGCUGAGCAGGAUGAUCAAUCAAAUGAUUUUGAAGCAUCUAUAAUGGAUAAGAGAAAAAUAAUGGGUCUCCAAGAGUCUGUUGCCGAAAAUACAAAUGAUGCUGAAAAAAAGAAAAAACUGGAUAUGUUUUCCGAAGCGGAUAACUUGUUGUCUGAUCUUGGUCCCGGGGCUUCAUGCCUGAUUUCAGCAACUGGGCAAGAAAACCCAAACCUAACAGAUAACUGGGAUGAUGCUGAGGGAUACUAUCGUGUGAGAAUAGGUGAAGUUCUUGAUACAAGGUACACAGUAUAUGGCUAUACUGGCCAGGGUGUAUUUAGUAAUGUAAUUAGAGCUAGGGAUAUGGCCCGAGGAAAUCAAGAUGUUGCCAUCAAAAUAAUAAGAAAUAAUGAAAUAAUGCACAAAACUGGUUUGAAAGAAUUAGAAAUGCUGCGGCGAUUGAAUGAUGCUGAUCCAGAUGAUAAAUUUCACUGCCUUAGAUUGUAUCGUAGUUUUUUCCAUAAACAGCAUCUUUGUUUAGUGUUCGAGCCUUUGUGCAUGAAUUUGAGAGAGGUUCUUAAGAAAUAUGGCAAAGAUGUUGGUCUUCAUAUCAAAGCUGUUCGUUCUUACAGUCAGCAGUUGUUCUUAGCUCUUAAACUUCUAAAACGUUGCAAUAUCUUGCAUGCUGAUAUUAAACCAGAUAAUAUUUUGGUUAAUGAUCGUAAGCUUGUUUUAAAGCUGUGUGAUUUCGGCUCUGCGUCUCAUGUUGCAGAGAAUGACGUAACUCCUUAUCUUGUAAGCAGAUUUUAUCGGGCGCCAGAAAUUAUUCUAGGCUUAAACUAUGACUUUGGCAUUGACACAUGGAGUGUUGGCUGUACUUUGUACGAAUUGUAUACUGGGAAAAUUAUGUUUCCUGGAAAAUCAAAUAACCAAAUGCUGAAACAAUUUAUGGACUUAAAAGGGAAAUUUCCCAAUAAGCUGAUAAAGAAAGGAGCAUUCAGAGAACAACAUUUCAAUAGUAGCUGUAAUUUCUUAUCACAUGAAGUUGAUAAAGUGACAGAAAGGGAAAAAGUUGUUGUACUUACUAACAUUAAUCCAAGCCGUGAUCUUCAAGCUGAACUGAUGGGUUCUCAAAGACUUCCUGAUGAUCAGUAUCGUAAAGUUUGUCAAUUAAAAGAUUUAUUAGAAAAAAUUUUAAUGCUUGAUCCUGCAAAAAGGAUAUCUAUUAAUCAAGCAUUAACUCAUCCUUUCAUACAAGAGAAAAUUUGAAUAAAAUACUCUAAUUUUGAUGAAAAUAUAAGCAUCUUAGAAGGUUUUUAAGGACUGAGGACCAUCAUGAGUUAGAACUUGAAGAAGUUUAAAGAACUCUUAAACACACUUUGUUUUAUUGUAUAAUAUGAGUAUGAAAAUAACACGUAGUUUCUUGAGCGACGGCUUGCUGUUACCAUAUGCUCUGUAUGCUGACAAAAAGCAGUAUAAUGAAUGUGGCUCUCAGAAGUUGGUUAAACUGGAAUUCCUGUUUCAAGCCUUGCCACCUACUACCUGUUGCCCUCUGAAGGUAGCAUUUUAAAGAAAAGGGAGAAUAAAACUCAGCUAAAAAUUUAUGUUAUUUUCUGUCUAUUUUUAAAUAUUUAGCUUAAAUUGAUUUCAUUAAAACUUAAAUGGUAACUGUAAAUAUUUUUCUUUAACAGACUUUUUUUAACAUUAUUAAUAUCCUUUAUCAAAUACUAUUUAGAAAAGUGUUAAUUACUCUUAUUUUAAUGAUACAAAAUUUGUAAUUAAGUAUCAUGAUUCUUGUUAUUACAGUGAAAUCAAUCUCAACUAGAAUUUAAAUGAAAUUUAUAAAAUACAAGAAUACUUUUAAAGAUAAACUUGCUUCUAUAAUUAAUCAAUGGCCGUGUUUCCUUCAGUCAAAAGUACUACUUUUAGUCACUGAAAUUGAUAGAAUAAGCGUAAAAAAAUACAUGGAGCCAGAAAAUACUUUUGUUUUCUCAGCACUUCAUUUUUGAUUAAUUUUUUAAAAUGUUAGAUUUCUAAAAAAUGUUCCAUCAGGUGACAUCACAAGUGAGGAAAGCCAUCUUGAAUCUUUGCGUGUGGUUGUCUUUUUGGCAAGAUAUCGCCUUUCAGUGAUUUUUCACUGCAAGCAAUUAUUAGUUUAACAAGAAUUGUUAGUUAAAUAAAAUAUUCAUUUAGCGAAAUGAGGCAAUGUCCUGGAACUUUAUUCUGGUAACCCUAGCAACUUGCUCACUUGCGAUGAAAAAAUGAAAAUAGCGCUAAACUCUUUUCAGAUUUUUUUUAAAGAAAGAAAAUAAGUUGAAAUUAAAAAAACAAGUAACACCCCAUGUUUUGACCUUGCUCUUUCAGGAAAAAAUAUUUAAAAAAAAAUAGGAAACAACCCAAUUAUUGCAAUAAUAAUUUCAAAUUGGGAGAUAGAUUUCACUGUGUUCAAUCUUUAAUCACCCGUAUCUGAAAAAGUUUACUUGAUUGUCUUCAGGAACAAAAUCGAGGCUCCAGCACUGGCUUGGAAAAGAUGAUGAAGCUUGCUGCCUACUUGCUUCUUUUCAUUCUGAAGGUAGAAACUAAAGUUAGGAAUAAAAAUUGAAAGUAAAUAUAAUUAUCAUAUGAAUAUUGAACAUCUAAAUCAUAUUUAAAAAAUCUUUAUGAAUUUCAGGCUAUCGGUACAAUAUGUAGAAAAUGAUGGAAGAUAUUUCCUGGUUAAACUGUAGAACAAAGUUUGCGAAAUUUGUCGACGUUGCACUUAAUGUUUUGUGUGUGUGUUUCUUGUAUAUAUGUGCAUGCACACAUGCUUUCUCCUUUAUUUUGGUUCUUUUUAAUUUUAUUUUGAAAUCAUAAAAAGAAAAAAAAAUAUUUUAAUGUUAUUUCUGAUGCAAAUUUUUGUAUGAUUUUGUAUGUUAGUAAAAUUUCCGACAUGCAUGCUCAACAAUUCUCAUUUUAAACAAAGCUGGUCAAGUGUUAAAAGUUUUAAAUCCCGAUAUUGACUGCUUGACUUUAAAUUCUUUUUGUAUUAUUUACUAUUUAUUUUGUUUCACUAAAUUCUCUUUCUAGUACGGACAGAAUUUUAAAUUUUUAUUCAAAGUUAUAUUAUUUGAGGUUUUGUUUUAUGAAAAUUCCAUGUUGUACAGUUCCUUUGUUUUUGUUCAAUUCUCGAAAUUUAAAGCUAGGUUUUUCUCAUUUCUAACUUGUAGUUGAUUUGAUAUUUUGCAUAUCUUUGGAUUCAAACUGCUUGAGGAAGUGAUAAAUCUUGAUUUCAUCAUAGUAUAACUUUUGAUAUUUUUACUUAAAAUGUUUUAAACAUUUUAUCAGAUGUCUUUUCCAAAGAGUUUGUUAAGCUUAGAAAUUGCAGAACAAAUAAGAUAAAUAUUUUAACCAAUACUUCAGCAUUGCGAUCAGAGAUAUGCAGAACUUAAAUCAUAUGAAAUACCUUAGCGAUAAAAACAAUAGUAUUUUUUUUAGACAUAAAUUUCACUUUAUUUUAAGUUACACCUUUUUUGCCAUUUAUUGCAAAUAGCAUUAUUUUAUGAAAACUUUGCUGAAAAAACUAAGGAGAAAUGAUUAUGCUACACGUAUUGAAAUGUUGACUAUUUUUUGUAAUGUAUAUUGCACUCUUGAUGAAACUGUAAAUAUUGAAUUUGUUUAUUAAA